GGAGGAGUUGAUGUGUCUCAUUAUAACAGCCAAUGCAGCCGCCAUCCACGCACAAGCAAAGAAGCAUGUCCCAUUUAAAUACACCCACGCAGCCCCAGCGCCCUUAGCCGAUCAGGGCGCGCAGCCCACACGCACCGCGGCUCCAGGGCUUGGAGAUCCGCUCAGGUUGGGCUCCCGGACCCGGAGGACCGACGCGCGGAGGAUCGCGAUCUGGCGCCGUGGGAGCCGGGGUGGGCGGAGGAGGCUGGGCCCCGGGCCUCUGGCGCGACAGCCGCAUGAGGACGCGAGUGAAAUAGACCAAGGUGGAAUUUCCAAGGGAAUAGCUUCGGGGUGGUUUUGGUCCAUCUCUCCCGCGAAGAAGAAGUCGACAUGGCGAGCGACUCCCCGGCUCGCAGCCUGGAUGAAAUAGAUCUCUCGGCUUUGAGGGACCCCGCAGGAAUCUUUGAAUUGGUGGAACUUGUUGGCAAUGGAACAUAUGGACAAGUAUAUAAGCCCUGACUCACAGCAGAUAUUCCGUCCUGACUCGCUUUCCAGGAAGAGCCAUAGAUGUGAAACUGGCAGGGUUCCGGCCCCUGGGGAAACUUGUCAUGUGCGGCAGUGCUUGGAGCUGAGGUUGGCUGAUGCUUGCUCUUCAAAAGGUCGUCAUGUCAAAACGGGCCAGCUGGCAGCCAUCAAGGUUAUGGAUGUCACAGGGGAUGAAGAGGAAGAAAUCAAACAAGAAAUUAACAUGUUGAAGAAAUACUCUCAUCACCGGAAUAUAGCUACAUACUAUGGUGCUUUUAUCAAAAAGAACCCACCAGGCAUGGAUGACCAACUUUGGUUGGUGAUGGAGUUUUGUGGUGCGGGCUCUGUCACUGACCUGAUCAAGAACACAAAAGGUAACACGUUGAAGGAGGAGUGGAUUGCAUACAUCUGCAGGGAGAUCUUACGAGGGCUGAGUCACCUGCACCAGCAUAAAGUGAUUCAUCGAGAUAUUAAAGGGCAAAAUGUCUUGCUGACUGAAAAUGCAGAAGUUAAACUAGUGGACUUUGGAGUCAGUGCGCAGCUUGAUCGAACAGUGGGCAGGAGGAAUACCUUCAUCGGAACACCCUACUGGAUGGCUCCAGAAGUUAUCGCCUGUGAUGAAAACCCAGAUGCCACGUAUGAUUUCAAGAGUGACUUGUGGUCUCUGGGAAUCACCGCUAUCGAGAUGGCAGAAGGUGCUCCCCCCCUGUGUGACAUGCACCCCAUGAGAGCUCUCUUCCUCAUCCCCCGGAACCCAGCGCCUCGGCUGAAGUCUAAGAAGUGGUCAAAAAAAUUCCAGUCAUUUAUUGAGAGCUGCUUGGUAAAGAACCACAGCCAGCGACCAGCAACAGAACAACUGAUGAAGCAUCCAUUUAUACGAGACCAACCUAAUGAACGACAGGUCCGCAUUCAGCUCAAGGACCAUAUCGAUAGAACAAAGAAGAAGCGAGGAGAGAAAGACGAGACGGAGUAUGAGUACAGCGGGAGUGAGGAAGAAGAAGAGGAGAAUGACUCCGGAGAGCCCAGCUCCAUUCUCAACCUGCCCGGGGAGUCGACGCUGCGGCGGGACUUCCUGCGGCUCCAGCUGGCCAACAAGGAGCGGUCGGAGGCCCUGCGGCGGCAGCAGCUGGAGCAGCAGCAGCGCGAGAACGAGGAGCACAAGCGGCAGCUGCUGGCCGAGCGCCAGAAGCGCAUUGAGGAGCAGAAGGAGCAGCGGCGGCGGCUGGAGGAGCAACAAAGGCGAGAGAAGGAGCUGCGGAAACAGCAAGAGAGGGAGCAGCGCAGGCACUAUGAGGAGCAGAUGCGGCGGGAAGAGGAGAGGAGGCGCGCAGAGCAUGAGCAGGAGUACAUCAGGCGACAGCUGGAGGAGGAGCAGAGGCAGUUAGAGAUCUUACAACAGCAGCUACUGCAUGAGCAAGCCCUACUUCUGGAAUAUAAGCGCAAGCAGUUGGAAGAACAGAGACAAGCAGAAAGGCUACAGAGACAGCUAAAGCAAGAGAGAGACUACUUGGUUUCUCUUCAGCAUCAGCGGCAGGAGCAGAGGCCUGUGGAGAAGAAGCCACUGUAUCAUUACAAAGAGGGGAUGAGUCCUAGUGAGAAACCAGCGUGGGCCAAGGAGGUAGAAGAACGGUCAAGGCUCAACCGGCAGAGUUCACCUGCCAUGCCUCACAAGGUUGCCAACAGGAUAUCGGACCCCAACCUGCCCCCACGGUCGGAGUCCUUCAGCAUCAGUGGGGUUCAGCCUGCUCGGACACCCCCCAUGCUCAGAUCAGUCGAUCCCCAGAUCCCGCAUCUGGUAGCAGUGAAAUCCCAGGGCCCUGCCUUGACCGCCUCGCAGUCGGUGCACGAGCAGCCCACGAAGGGCCUCUCUGGGUUUCAGGAGGCUCUGAAUGUGAGCUCUCACCGCGUCGAGAUGCCACGCCAGAACUCAGAUCCCACCUCUGAAAACCCACCUCUCCCCACUCGCAUUGAGAAGUUUGACCGAAGCUCUUGGUUACGACAGGAAGAAGACAUUCCACCAAAGGUGCCUCAAAGAACAACUUCUAUAUCCCCAGCAUUAGCAAGAAAGAAUUCUCCUGGAAAUGGUAGUGCUCUGGGACCCAGACUAGGAUCUCAACCCAUCAGAGCAAGCAACCCCGACCUCCGGAGAACCGAGCCCGUCUUGGAGAGCCCCUUGCAGAGGACCAGCAGUGGCAGUUCUUCCAGCUCCAGCACCCCCAGCUCCCAGCCCAGCUCCCAGGGCGGCUCUCAGCCUGGGUCACAAGCAGGAUCCAGCGAACGGACCCGGGUUCGAGCCAACAGUAAGUCGGAAGGAUCACCUGUGCUCCCCCAUGAGCCCUCCAAGGUGAAACCAGAAGAAUCCAGGGAAAUUACCCGACCAAGUCGCCCAGCUAGCUAUAAGAAAGCUAUAGAUGAGGAUCUGACGGCGUUGGCCAAAGAAUUAAGAGAACUUCGGAUUGAAGAAACAAACCGCCCACUGAAGAAGGUAACAGAUUACUCCUCCUCCAGUGAGGAGUCAGAAAGCAGUGAUGAAGAGGAGGAAGAUGGAGAGAGUGAGACCCAGGACGGGACGGUGGCUGUCAGCGACAUACCCAGACUGAUACCCACAGGAGCCCCUGGGAGCGCUGAGCAAUACAAUGUGGGAAUGGUCGGCACGCAUGGGCUGGAGACCUCUCACGCGGACACUUUCGGCAGCAGUAUUUCAAGAGAAGGAACCUUGAUGAUAAGAGAAAUGAGAUGUUCAGAUGAGCACUAUGACAAAAUGAGUCCAGAAAACGCCCCUCUCCUGAACAGUCAGGGGCCAGGAGCACUGUGCCAGGAGACACAGAGGACACGAAGGCUUUCCAGUUAUUUCUCAAGCUUCCUGCCGUCCGGAGAGAAGAAGCGACCGGGCCACAGUGACAGCAAUGGCUUUGCCGGCCACAUCAACCUCCCGGACCUGGUGCAGCAGAGCCAUUCCCCUGCGGGGACCCCCACCGAGGGCCUGGGGCGCGUCUCCACCCACCCCCAGGAAAUGGACGCCGGGACUGAAUAUGGCCUGGGGAGCAGCACCAAAGCCUCCUUCACUCCCUUUGUGGACCCCAGGGUAUACCAGACGUCUCCCACUGAUGAAGAUGAAGAGGAUGAGGAAUCAUCAGCUGCGGCCCUGUUUACUAGCGAACUUCUUAGGCAAGAACAGGCCAAACUAAAUGAAGCAAGAAAGAUUUCAGUGGUGAACGUAAACCCAACCAACAUUCGGCCUCAUAGCGACACACCAGAGAUCAGAAAAUAUAAGAAGCGAUUCAAUUCAGAAAUACUUUGUGCAGCUCUGUGGGGUGUAAACCUCCUGGUGGGAACCGAAAAUGGCCUGAUGCUUUUGGACCGAAGUGGGCAAGGCAAAGUUUAUAAUCUGAUCAACCGGAGGCGAUUUCAGCAGAUGGAUGUGCUCGAGGGACUGAAUGUCCUCGUGACAAUAUCAGGAAAGAAGAAUAAGUUACGAGUUUACUAUCUUUCAUGGUUAAGAAACAGAAUACUACACAAUGAUCCAGAAGUAGAAAAGAAACAAGGCUGGAUCACUGUGGGAGACUUGGAAGGCUGUAUACAUUACAAAGUUGUUAAAUAUGAAAGGAUCAAAUUCUUGGUGAUUGCCUUAAAGAAUGCUGUGGAGAUAUAUGCUUGGGCUCCUAAACCAUAUCAUAAGUUCAUGGCAUUUAAGUCUUUUGCAGAUCUCCAGCACAAGCCACUGCUUGUUGAUCUCACGGUAGAAGAAGGUCAAAGAUUAAAGGUUAUUUUUGGUUCACACACUGGUUUCCAUGUAAUUGAUGUUGAUUCAGGAAACUCUUAUGAUAUCUACAUACCAUCUCAUAUUCAGGGCAAUAUCACUCCUCAUGCCAUUGUCAUCUUGCCUAAGACAGAUGGAAUGGAAAUGCUUGUUUGCUAUGAGGAUGAGGGGGUGUAUGUAAACACCUACGGCCGGAUAACUAAGGAUGUGGUGCUCCAAUGGGGAGAAAUGCCCACGUCUGUGGCCUACAUUCAUUCCAAUCAGAUAAUGGGCUGGGGCGAGAAAGCUAUUGAGAUCCGGUCAGUGGAAACAGGACAUUUGGAUGGAGUAUUUAUGCAUAAGCGAGCUCAAAGGUUAAAGUUUCUAUGUGAAAGAAAUGAUAAGCCAUGUUUCUUCUGAAGUGUCAUAGGGGGACUGUUUUCCAGUGAAAUUGGCGGUGUUCGUCUGGCAUGAACAGUCGCCCAGAAGGGUAUUUUUUGCAUCCGUGCGAUCUGGAGGAAGUAGCCAAGUGUUUUUCAUGACCCUCAACAGAAAUUCCAUGAUGAACUGGUAACAGAAGAGCACUUGGCACUUAUCUUCAUGGCGUUAUUUCUAAUUUAAAAGAACAUAACUCAUGUGGACUUAAUGCCAGUCUAGAGGCAGAAUCAGAAGGCUUGGUUGAACAUACUGCUUUCCCCUUUUCCUCUCCCUCCACCCAUCCCGAUACAGUCCAUCUUUCAAUGUUGCAGCCUGGUUGAGAAGGAGAGAAAAAGGUGGCAGGAAUUUCCAGGAGAUCCCCAAGAAUGCUGCGUUGUCUAUGGACAGAGAUGGACCAUGUGCCCUUCGGAGUUAGGGAUAGAAACAAAUAUUGUGUGCUCUUAUGAUUAAGCUGUGUUAUGGUGGAUUUUUGAGUUUUGUUUUGUUUUUUACCUUUUCUUUUUCUUUACCCCCUUACUUUGUAAGAAUGGGGAGAGAAUGCAUACUGAGAAAGUGUCUGUUUUGAAUUCUGUCUGCCUGCUAGCUUUAAGUAUAUGAUAUGUUGUUAAGAUCUCCAACUUCAAAUGGUGAGAGACAGCACAAUAAAUGUACCUUAUCUCUUUACACUGAAGGCCAUAACUACACAGUGGGGUAAUUUUAGAACUCUUUUACCUUCACCAACCCAAGAGGUUGCUUUUUGAUAGCAACUGCUAAUGAAUUUUUAAAAGAGAAGAAAAAUACUAGUAUUCCCCUCUUUUGGGAAAUAGAUUUUAAAUGGCUAAACUACUAGCCUUAGACUAAUAAAAUCAACUACCAUUUUUGUGAGUCUGGCAGGCCCUAUUUUAUAGGGCCCUGUACAGAACAGAGUAUGUCGCAUGGGAUAGUAGUGCCAUUGAGUUAAGUUGGCUGUAGUGAAUGAGGGACUCUAUAUACAACGUUGCCUCGAUGAUUACUGCAACAGAUCAGGGCAAAAGAUGGGAUGACAGAGGGGGUCAGAUGGAAAGAGCUUCUGGAAACAAGCUAAAAAUGUAUAUAUAUAUAUACACACACACUUUUUUUUUUCAAAUGCACAAAACUUCCCAGCUAGGAAGUCACUCUGUUUGGGCUUCGUUAGGAGUUAAGACCUUGUUCUUUCUGGGAAUUGGAGAAUCGGUGACAUCCAGGCUCUCAUUACUCCCAGCUUCCUCCUGAGGAAGAUGUCUCAAGAUGAAAACUGUGACUGAAAAAAUAAUAAUAAUAAUAAUAAUAAAUGUUUCUGAGCUGCCUGUGUUCUCUCUGGGUUGGUGAGAGAAGGGACUAGACUACUAAGCCUGCCUGGGACCCAGCAGGCAUCAUUGGUUCAGAUUUUAUAGAACUUGAAAGCAAGGCUUUGGCCGAAAUUCUGAGACCCUAAUCAUUUUACCUUCCUCCAAAUUACCCAACAUCCGGUAAACAACGUUUGUGCAGAGAUAUGUAUGUAUUUCGUUCAGGUUGACUUGUGUCCUUAUAAACUCUUCCGCGGAUGAUUUGAACUUUUUGCGUGACUGUCUGGGGUUUUUUUUUCCAAAGCUCCGAGCAUGGCCGCCUGUGGUAUCAAGGUGUUGCAAAACAGUAUCUGUGUUGCGCUUCCUGUUUUAACCUACCUCGUUUCGUUUGUUUCGUUUCACUGUUCAUCACAGCAGUGUUAUCUCCAGGAGACAUAUAGAGAGCUCAACUGGCAAUCUCAGCUGUCUUUCACAUUCUUAAAACACAACAGUAGUUGACCAAAUUGUUCUUGAAAAAUUGAAAAAAAGAAAAAAAAAAAUCCAACAGCAACAAAACUAACGUGGCUUGUUUCUGGAGAAAACAAUUACUGUAAACAGAUCCAAAACCAAAAACAUCUAUGAGCCUACUGAUUUUGCCUAAAUACAUGAGCAGCUGAUGUACUAUUAAUGAGAACGAAAUACACAUUAGGAAAACAGCACCAUUUCAAUCUGGUGGCUUGGGCAAGGGGGGGGACACGGAAGGGGAAAUACUCUAGUUUUUGAAGUGGCUGAUUCUGCCCCUCCUGUAAAGGUGGUUGUCAUUUGCAUUUAUUUUAAGCAGGUAACACACAAAUGGAAUUGAGGAUUAUCUUCAGGCGAUCACCAAGAUGUCCUCAUUGUGGUCCCUUUAGCGCUCAAAAGCAAUGAAAUCCUCCCGUUCUCAUUUUUACUGCUAAGGUUCUGCUGCUGAGCAAAUUCCGUGCCACAAAUUCAGCAAUAACGUUUGGGAUUGAAUAGCAACUACUGUAAUUGGAUGCUGACAUGGGCAAGACACAUUGAUUUGGGUCUCAUCCCCGCAUGUGAUUGCCACCAGCUCUUUAUAUUGCUGCUGUGGUAUUUUGAACCAGAAGCUUCUUUAAAUUAUGUUGCAAACUGAUCUUUGUUUUAUGUUUUGUUUCGUUUUGAUUUCUAAGUGAAAAGUUCGAAACACACAGCUUUAACUGAUUUUUUUAUUGUGGGAUUUGGGGUACAGUAAAGAAAUAAAAGGGAAUCAUUGUGUUUAAACAUGAGGUAGUUUGUGAAUGUAUUUUUUAAAAUCUAGAUUCAUUGAAACAAAAAGUCGUAAGAAAACAAUAUUAAUGCAGUCUUGUUUACAGUCUGUACAGUGACAUAACAAAGAACAUGAGCUUUUCUGGUGCCAAGAAAAAUAAAACGCAGACGUUAACCAUCAAGCCACGCUUUUUAUAUUUUUGUACAAAUAUUUUACACAGAGUACAAGGCAAAACCAAAUUUAAAACGGCCCCCCACAAAUCUGUGCUCCUUAAAAGAUUUCUAAAGAAUUCCUUGAAGCUUCUAUCUCCAAAAAUACAUUUUGCUCCAUAAGGACAGGCCCUAGCUCUGAAAUACUGGAGGCCUAGGUCAUGCAGAAUAUUUCAGAAUAACUGUUCUUGUGGCUCAUAACAAUUACCAACAUUUCAGUUUGCUUUCUUUUUUUUUGGCAGAAGCAAGGGGGUGGUUGUACUUUUCAUCCCUGUUAAUAUCAUCUUAAAAAUAAAAUGAGCCAGUUUUAGAAAUAAAAUCCCCUGUAAGAAACACUAAAACUGAAACUAGAUUCAAAGCUAAAAAAGUUUUUAUUAAGAUUUGUAUGCAAAGAGAAAUGGAACCCUCCCUCCCCCAAAGUUUCACUAGAUCAUUUCAUUCCCUGCUACUCAGUAUUGAUGAUCAUGCAGUAAAAUCCACUGUGGCUGCUUACACCACCAUUGUGGGCCAGCGUCUGUCAGGUGAUUGUCAUUGCUGGGUGCUAGUCCGGGACGUGAGUGAGGAUUCCUUCAUGCAGGGCAUGGUGGGAGCAGAUGACCUACAAGAUCCUUUAAGAUGGGGAGAGUUCUCCCCAUGCCAGUUACAUUCAGAUCGUUAUCCUGCACACGAGAUAAGGGAAGAUAUCUUGCACUAAGUGCCACACGAAAUCUAACGACUAUUUAGAUAGAGCUCAUUUUUCUUGAAGACUUUCGAACAGAGCCUCAAGAAGACCAAGAACUAUUUCAACAGUGUAGAUUAAGGUACAGAUGACAUCCCACGAGGCCACUCAAACAGGUACCCCAUUUUUCUCACACUUUAACAUUGCUUUCUAAGACAUACUUCUUACAUACAUCACAUCAAGUACACCUUUUUUAAAAGCCUCUUCAUUCCUGGUUGUCGAGACCUACUAACAGUUUUCUGUCUGCUUUUGUGACUUAUUGGUAAGUGGUGUCUCUGGUCCCUCCUCUGCAGUAGAUUAGAAAGAUGUAAAAAAUUCAGGCCGGAGCCAUUUGGGUUUUGUCCAUUGCCCAGACAAGGAAGCAGCUGAAGUCUAACCUCACAUUCCAUAAGCUAAAAAAAAAAAAUGUUUUCCCUACUAGUAUGUGUCCUAGUUCCCGUCACUGUAUUCUUGAAAUGUUGAAGAGCUCUUUGUGUUAACAAUGUGUGUUGUCUUUGAAAGUCUGCUUGAACAGGCAUCACCUCCAUUCAUGCUGAUUGCUUUAAGAUACAAGAUGUGCCACAUUACUUUAAGAAAGAGCAUGCAGUUAUUUGUCAAAAUUUUUUAAACCUCUGGAGGAAAAUAGGAGGAUAUCUGCAACAUGCUGAUGGCAAUUCUGAAUGACUCUACCAUGCUCCCACAAUUCUCUGUUCUAACCGUCUCAACAGUUUCUGUGAAUUAUUAGUCACUUUUUCAUUCAUUCCUCCUAACCUUAAAUCUAAACAAAUCAAAAAAUAACAAACAAACCCAAAACUGACCUACCUGAGACUAUAUAGUUACAACAUAAAAUCCAGAAAUCUAAAUUUGAUUUUAUUUACCUGUUAAUAUUUCUCAUUAAUACCAUUACAUUUUGGCCUUGAUCAGGAUCGCAAUAUCAAAAAUCUUAAAAUGUUCUGUCCUUGAUGGGUCUCAAGAUGGAUAUAACCUGAUCUUCUUUCAGAAGCCCCAGCAAAAAAGAAAACCUCUUGAGAAUUUGCAAGUUCAGAACUGACCAUUGAGGGACUUCCCUGGUGGUCCAGUGGUUGAGACUCUGCGCUUCCACUGCAGGGGGUACAGGUUCAAUCUCUGGUCAGGGAACGAAGAUCCCUUACCCUACAUGGCACAGCUGAAAAGAAACUGAUCAUUUACACAUGUCCACCAAACAUUUUCUAGUAUUUUUUUAUUUCCAAACUGUAUCACUGGAAUUUGGGGGAUUUUUUCCAUAGAUGCUUAGGAUAUUCAAAAAUGUGCAUAACAUUAAAUAGUAUGAGACCAUAACUCUCUGCUUUGAAAAUUAUUCUAAGGCUGUCAUUCCAGAAAAUGCCAGAAUGCACCAAAAUAAAAAUCUUCAUAAAAGCAUUUUUAAAACAAAAAUCUCUGAAUAAGUUUUGAGAUAUUCUAAAUUCACAUCAAAAUCUUGGACUCUGUGUCCAUGAUACCAAACAUUUGGAGGAAGACUAGAAAACAGAAAUGUCCUAAAGUUUCCAGAUUUUUUGGGUUUGUAUAGAUAUCUUCAAACAAACUCAAUUCCUUGCGUGAUAGAGUUGGGUUUUGAUGGUUGGUUUUUAUCAUGCUAAAUUGCACUGCACAGAUGGGGCUGGAGGAAAGGUAAGUUUUCAUUUCUAGCAAUGGAUCAUUGCUUGUCCGUAGCAAACAUCCAUGCCCCAGUUGUCUCUUCCUCGUAUUUCUCCCUCUGGGGUUAGUGUUAAGGAAUAGUAAUUUUGUAUUAUGGUUUAUUUAAAAACCUCAGACAUCACCCUGAAUCAGAAUUUCGAAUGUUAGGUGAAAGCAAGAAAUAAAUCUGUAGCAGGGGGAAAAAAAAGGAUGACAGCUUAGAUGAAGUUUCAAAUUGGAUGUUGUGAAACUGUUUUUGUGCAUUUAGCUGUCUUUUUUUUUUUUUUUUUUUUUUAAACAAUGUUAACGUAACUGUAGAAAUGCCAAAUUUAUACUAUUGGAAGGGGAAACUAUCAUUUUGCUAUGCCUAAGAGUGUUUAUGCUGUUUAAAUCUCCAGUUUUCUAAAGUGUUUUAAAUUGUCAAAAAUAUGCUGAAACUGGAUCAUUCUCACCUGUGUGGGGGUAUAAAGAAAGAAAAUCUUCUUGGCAUAUUUUCUAGUCUGAACCUUUUGGUUACUUUCAAGUAUAUUUUCCCCUGCAUUUACAAAGCCUUCAGUUACUGUUGUCUAAGGUUGUUCUAAGCAGUAGUUAGAAAUGAUUUGGUAGGUUCUAAGCCUACCUUUCCUUGACUAUGACUGCCACACCCUGGAAUAUACUAUUUUAUGUUAUCUCUAUCAAAAUGUGAAUAAAAAAAUAUUGAUAGUA